GAUGAAUGCUGGCGGCGCGCCUAACACAUGCAAGUCGAGCGGAAAGGCCCUUCGGGGUACUCGAGCGGCGGACGGCUGAGUAACGCGUGGGAACAUGCCCCAAAGUGAGGGAUAACUGCCCGAAAGGGUAGCUAAUACCGCAUAUGAUCUUCGGAUUAAAGGAUUUAUCCGCUUUGGGAGUGGCCCGCGUACGAUUAGGUAGUUGGUGAGGUAAAGGCUCACCAAGCCUACGAUCGUUAACUGGUCUGAGAGGAUGAUCAGUCAGACUGGAACUGAGACACGGUCCAGACUCCUACGGGAGGCAGCAGUGAGGAAUCUUCCACAAUGGGCGAAAGCCUGAUGGAGCGACGCCGCGUGCAGGAUGAAGGCCUUCGGGUUGUAAACUGCUUUUAUAAGUGAAGAAUAUGACGGUAACUUAUGAAUAAGCACCGGCUAACUGCGUGCCAGCAGCCGCCGCCGUA
rnacentral:rRNA from 1 species